CAGUUUAAGCUGCUUUGCAUAAAAAGGCAAAAAUUCUCUUUCUUCUUGACUGGACAACCUGCACCUAAAAGCUCGGGUGUGGAUUGAGGACUGGGCACUCAGGGGAUGCAGGGUUUCCUCUUGCUCUGCAGGACCUCGGGGGAAAACCACUCAAGCAGCCACCAUGUGCCAGGCUCCUUGCUGAGCAAACUCUGGCACAUGGGCCGUCAUGGAUGGGUUGGUGGGUGGAUUGACCUGCAAAGAUUUUCCUCAAAGAAGACUUCCCUGCCCCCAGGCAGGCCCUCUGCCUACACUUCCAUAGUCCAGUGGCCCUUUCUCUUAGCAACCUUAUCACAGCUGUCAUCUUAUGUGCAUUUGGGAAAUUAGUUAAUUCCUUCCCCCACUAAACUGGAGCUCCACAAGGAGCUAUUUUUUGCUUGCCACUGGAGCACUAGCAGCGGGCAUGUGCCUGGCAAAUCGCAGGCACUCAUCACAUAUAUUUGUGAAUCAAUGGAAUCCUUGAGAUUCAGUAUGCCAGAGAUCAAUUAUGGCACAAGUCUUUGCAAAAAGAUUUGUCGCUGGGUUUAAUCAUUCAGAAAACAUUUAAGUACAUUAAGUACACGUGCCAUGUACUGUGCUAGGUAAUAUGGGGAGGGGCUUAUACAAAGAUAACGAAACCAGGGUCUCUGCCCUGAAAAAUAUGUACAGGCUGGGGGUGAGCCCCACCCUCCACUGUGGCCGCUGUGGGGUCUUACCCAUUGUCCUGCCUGUGAAGAAAGCUGUUCCCCACAUGGUCACUAUGGGGUGAAGCCACAGGGCACGUCCUAGUCCCUAAGAUUAGAAGAACAGACGUGGCCACCCUAAGUGAUGGCCCUGCGUGGUCACACGGUCCGUGAAUCAUCUAGUCUUAGGACUUGAGAGGCAGGAAGUUUUGUCAUUGGGAGAUCCAGGGUGAACAAGUCCGUUUACCCUGCACCUGCAGACACGAACCCAGCUCUGCUGACUGAGGGACCGUGUGAUCCGGGAGAAGCCCCAAGCUCUCUGCCUCUGGAAACCUGAGAAGGGAUGGCACGUGCCUCAAGGGCUGUGAUCUUGGCUCCUUCAUACUGAAAGCUGGGUGGCAUCCUGGAGAACCCACGCCUCCUUGCGUGGAAACCAUGGAAUUUCCCCAGGAAGAUGUCUUUGGCAACUUUUAGGCCACAGGAAGCUCACAGCUGGUGAGACACUGAGAAAAUGCGAGGGAAGAAGUGCCAGCCCUGCCCACACAAUCUGAGGCCCCUCCCAAGGGGAUAGGAAAGCUCCACAUCUCCCCAGACAGGACCUUGAAACAACCAGGGAGUGUCCCGGCUGCAGACUCCCGUGUCCACUCCAGCUUUGAGCUCCCAGUACUUCGUCUAUACGGUGCUUUUCACACAGCGACCCUCCACAAGUAUUUGUUGAAUAAAGGCAUUGGAAGGAAUCCAUGUGUAACAGUAAACCUUGCUUCCUGAUUUAGCUCUGGGAUAAAUCCGGGGCCCACAUAUUGACAUUGUUUAGCAAUUUAUUCCUUUAUGGAGUGUCUAUGACGUGCUGGGCUCUAAGAAUGUGAAGAUAAAGACACUGUUGCUGUCAGCUGAGGGUCUAGUGGGGACACAGAUUCAUGACCUUGUAUUUUCUUGAUUGUGGCACAGAGGCUGCGCACAUGCCAGGGAGGAGCCGGGAGGGAAGGAAGCAUCUGCACGGAGGAUGGGAGACGACCUUUGAGCUGGGUCUUAACCAGAAGGGGCUCGCCGUGAGGAGAAGCAGGGACGGCAUUUGAGACAGAUCUCUCUAACUACGAAGCCAGAGAGGCACAGGGGUGUGGUGCCGUCUGAGGCCGGGGUGACAGGAUGGGAAAGAGCGUGGGCUCUGGAGUGGCGGGAGAUGACGCGGGACAGGCCGGUUGUGUGGAUGCGAGAGGCUGGGGCUUUAAGCUGUCAGGCAGGGAGCGCCCAGUCCUGUUUGUGAGGCAGGAAGGUAAACAGCACACACCUGUGCGUGGUUUCCUUCUCGAAGGCCUGCCUGGCAGCCACUCCUCACCCAGGACCUCCGUCUCAUCAACUGUAAAAUGAAGGGAGUGGACCAGGUGAUCCUCCAACUCUCUGAUUCCAAGGAAGGAUGGAGCAGCGUGGGAUUUUGUGGAUAAGUUGCUGAGGGUGGGGACUCCCAGAUAGAACAAAACCUCUUCCAGAGGGGACAGGAGGCUUUGCAGAGUGGGUGGGUGACAAGGCUGCCUCCCCACCCAGCUGCUGCUGCUGCUAGACCUGCUUCAGCCACAAGGCCCGGGCAGGUGUGAGGCCUGGAGGCCCAGGGCCGGGCCCUAUUUGCCUUUGCAUCCCUCGUGCCCAGCACAGAGCCUGGCGCAUAACUAUCUACUCAGUGGGCGUUUGGUGGAUGAAGUUCUGAUUCGAAGCUGUACGUACAACUUUAUUUUCAAAAGGGCGGAAAGUAUAUUACUUUAUAAGUGCAGUGUCAUAGGCAACUUUCAAAACAUGGGGAACAUGAAAGAAAAAGUCAUUUGAGUUUCGAAAGCAGUGGUCAGAGGCCUGGGAGGUGGCGGGGCGGUGGAGGAAGGAUGUGGGGAGAUGGGGGGGAGGGGGGUUUCUUUGAGCUGUGAGGGUCAGUGGACAAAGGCAGCCUCCUAGGUUUGCAGCCGACACUCGAUGCUGCCCCUCUGUGAGAUGGGAGCCUGCGGGAGCAGCAGGUCUGGAGGAUGAGGUGGCGAGUUUAGACAUCCAGCUCGAGAAAUAAAUUGGAGUGUUUCCAGUGAUAGAAGGUUCUGGAAGCCUUAGGUGUGAGUGAGAAGAUGUAGGGCAAGUGUGUGGCAGGGUGUGGAGAGGAGGGCUGGGAUGCCCGGAGAAAAGAACUUUUAAGGAUGAGGCAGCACCAGGAGCUCCUUCCUCAGGACAGGACUUCCUCUCUGUGCCCACCUUCCUCCUCAUUACUAUAGCUGGGACAGGCACCAGCACUGUAGAGGCUUCACUGAAACCCCAGCUCCACAGGCUCCAACUUCUGUGUGUUCUUGGCCCCCCUCUCUUUUGCGGUCACAACAGUGCAACAUUCUGUGACUUCCCCUGUGACUCCACGAGGCCCGCCUCCUGGACUGCUGCACUGUCUGCUCACCUCAGUCACUUAUUCCUUUCUGCUUAUUACCCUCCACACCCCAGACUUUUCUUCCCUGAAUCCCUCCAGACGGUUCUGCCCACCCGCCGGUGAGCCAGGCUCUCCGGCUGUGCCCUGGGGGAGCCAGGGGAGUUUCCAGUUUCCUUCCACUUCCUCCCUGCUUCCCCCUCCCUCUCCUCCCCCUGGGCUGGCUGAGAAGAAGGUCCAGAGCUGGCAGCAGCAGGUGGAAAACCCAGGGCUGGCCGUCCUCCCAGCCGCUGCACAACUAGCUUCUGUGAGCCGUGGGUGAGGUGCCUCGGUGUGCCAGCCAAUGUGUGACAAUAGGCGCUCGGGGCAAAAAGCCCUGAUGGGUGGCAUUUAUUGAUUUUGGUGGUGUGAAUAUUCCCACCAUGACCAAUUUCAAGCUACCAACGAUGGUGGCACUGAACGCAGGAUUGGGAAGAGAUGUGCGAUAGCUCACUAUCGUAUAAUAUUCCCACCACACAGACACGGUGGGCAGGGAUAGCCUCAAGAGCAUAUAUAACUAUGAGUGUAGAAAAAUAAUUAGGAAGUAAUAAAUUUUGAGUAUUUGUUGCUUUUUAAAAAUAUAACAUUUUCUUGUAAGGUUUUAUAAUUUAAUUUUGAAAAUAAUGGCUGUUUCACCACUGGUUUGUAAAAUUCCUGAAAAUUUAACAAUUAGCUUUUGCAAGCAGUAUGAGCUGGUUCCAGCAAACCACUGAGUGCCACUGGGGCCAGGAGAAAAGGGGGAGACUCCAAACGCCAAAGUUUAGGGGGCAACAUUUACACUGAUGUGCACUCCGGCUGGGAUCCUCUUCCUGCCCAGGCCUUGGGCACUGUCAGCUGGGGUGGCGGGUGUUGGGCAGCAGCCUCAGCAUCCCCAGUAACAGUCAGACUCUCCUCCUAAGGAGGAGGAGCAGAGCCUGGCGCCGGGCACCCCCUCCCACCCGGCAGACAUGAGCUUUCCUGACCUGGACCUGUGGGCCCUGCGCCUGCCCAGCUCCCAGCCUCUGGACACCUACGCUGGCGGCCCCCAGAACCAGGAAGUUUGAGUGGUGCAAUGACCUUCGCCUUUGAAGAUGUGAAAUCCGGUUGCUCUCAGAGGGUAUUUCCAAGGAAUCCACUUGGUGCUCCGACAGCCCCAGGGCAGCCUCACCCCAGCUUUCCUGCCUUUUGGGUGAAUCAUCUUACCUUCCCCUACUACCUGGCUGAGAGAGUUAUGCUGAGAGAGUAAGAAUCUGCCUGCGGGAGAAGGGAAGGUAGGCAGUUCUGGAGCAUGGACCAUUUUGAGAGCUAUGAGAAGUCCAGGAAAAUAAAAAUAUUGUUAAAGAAAAAAAAUCAGUGACAUGUUAAAACACGGCAAAGAAGACUUUAUUCAAGGGGACGAAGCUAUCAAGUUGUCACAGGGGUCCACCUUCAAACUCAGCUGACUGUUGGUCAAAGGCAGGUCCUGGUCCAGCAAGGAGUCGUCGUCGGCCUGGAGGGCUGGGUGCGCCCCGUUAAUAGGCC